AUUGAACGCUGGCGGGAGGCCUAACACAUGCAAGUCGAACGAGCGGCGGACGGGUGAGUAAUAUAUCGGGACUUGCCCGGUAGAGGGGGAUAACUACUGUAAAAAGUGGCUAAUACCGCAUACUAUUGGAAGGACCAAUAUGGGAGUAGCUAGUAGGGGGGGUAAAGGCUCACCUAGGCAACGAUCCCUAGCUGGUCUGAGAGGAUGAACAGCCACCCUGGGACUGAGACACGGCCCAGACUCCUACGGGAGGCAGCAGUGGGGAAUUUUGCACAAUGGGCGCAAGCCUGAUGCAGCCAUGCCGCGUGUAUGAUGAAGGCCUUAGGGUUGUAAAGUACUUUUAGCAGGGAGGCGUUACCCGCAGAAGAAGCACCGGCUAACUCCGUGCCAGCAGCCGCGGUAAUUC
rnacentral:rRNA from 1 species